rnacentral:rRNA from 1 species
GGAAAGGCCCCUUCGGGGUGCUCGAGUGGCGAACGGGUGAGUAACACGUGGGUGAUCUGCCUCGUACUCUGGGAUAAGCCUGGGAAACUGGGUCUAAUACUGGAUAGGACCGCACUUUAGUGUGUGUGGUGGAAAGUUUUUUCGGUACGAGAUGAGCCCGCGGCCUAUCAGCUUGUUGGUGGGGUAAUGGCCUACCAAGGCGUCGACGGGUAGCCGGCCUGAGAGGGUAGACGGCAACAUUGGGACUGAGAUACGGCCCAGACUCCUACGGGAGGCAGCAGUGGGGAAUAUUGCACAAUGGGCGCAAGCCUGAUGCAGCGACGCCGCGUGAGGGAUGACGGCCUUCGGGUUGUAAACCUCUUUCGACAGGGACGAAGCUUUUUGUGACGGUACCUGUAUAAGAAGCACCGGCUAACUACGUGCCAGCAGCCGCGGUAAUACGUAGGGUGCGAGCGUUGUCCGGAAUUACUGGGCGUAAAGAGCUCGUAGGUGGUUUGUCGCGUCGUCUGUGAAAUUCCGGGGCUUAACUCCGGGCGUGCAGGCGAUACGGGCAUAACUUGAGUGCUGUAGGGGAGACUGGAAUUCCUGGUGUAGCGGUGGAAUGCGCAGAUAUCAGGAGGAACACCGAUGGCGAAGGCAGGUCUCUGGGCAGUAACUGACGCUGAGGAGCGAAAGCAUGGGGAGCGAACAGGAUUAGAUACCCUGGAAGUCCAUGCCGUAAACGGUGGGCGCUAGGUGUGAGGGUCUUCCACGACUUUCGUGCCGUAGCUAACGCAUUAAGCGCCCCGCCUGGGGAGUACGGCCGCAAGGCUAAAACUCAAAGGAAUUGACGGGGGCCCGCACAAGCGGCGGAGCAUGUGGAUUAAUUUCGAUGCAACGCGAAGAACCUUACCUGGGCUUGACAUAUACAAGAUCGGCGUAGAGAUACGUUUUCCCUUGUGGUUUGUAUCAGGGGGGUGCAUGGUUGUCGUCAGCUCGGUUCGUGAGAAGUUGGGUUAAGUCCCGCACCGAGCGCAACCCUUGUCUUAUCUUCCCAGCACGUGAUGGUGGCAACUUAUGAGCGACUGCCGGCGUCAACUCGGAGGAAGGUGGGGAAAACGCCAAAUAACCAUCCCCCCCCCCACCAGGCCGUCACACACGCUACAAUGGCCGGAGUCGACGUUGCGAGCCUGUGAGGGUGACCCAAUCGCUGAAAHUSNDANBNKNYNANSNNGNNNSUDGYNNNNNNSYNBNKNHYNNVKNSSUYNSUVUNHAAACGCUGCGGUGAACACGUUCCCGGGCCUUGUACACACCGCCCGUCCC